rnacentral:rRNA from 1 species
UACGGAGGGUGCGAGCGUUAAUCGGAAUUACUGGGCGUAAAGCGCACGCAGGCGGUUUGUUAAGCUAGAUGUGAAAGCCCCGGGCUCAACCUGGGAUGGUCAUUUAGAACUGGCAGACUAGAGUCUUGGAGGGGGGAGUGGAAUUCCAGGUGUAGCGGUGAAAUGCGUAGAUAUCUGGAGGAACAUCAGUGGCGAAGGCGACUCCCUGCCAAAGACUGACGCUCAUGUGCGAAAGUGUGGGUAGCGAACAGG